UACGGAGGAUCCAAGCGUUAUCCGGAAUUACUGGGCGUAAAGCGUGCGUAGGUGGUUUGUUAAGUCUGUUGUGAAAGCCCCGGGCUCAACCUGGGAAUGGCAAUGGAUACUGGCAAGCUAGAGUGCGGUAGAGGGUAGUGGAAUUCCCGGUGUAGCGGUGAAAUGCGUAGAGAUCGGGAGGAACACCAGUGGCGAAGGCAGUGUCCUGGGGAGUACCUGACGCUCAGGUGCGAAAGCCAGGGGAGCGAACGGG
rnacentral:rRNA from 1 species